ACCACCUUGCCUAAAAAAAUGCGACCACAACCACCACCAGCGCCGGCGCCCCGCUCCCCUCCGGCGCACGUAUAUCCUCCCUCCUCCGCGCGAGCGAGCAGAGACGGCCGGCGUCGGCGACGCGCCCGCAUGUCCUCUCCCGCGCGUCGCGAGCGCAACCGCCAGCGACAGAUCCCUCGCGGGGUCUCCUCCUGCUUCCCCCCCGCCGUCGCCAUCCCCCUCCGUCCGGCAUUCCGCCGCCGCAUCAUCCGGCAACUGCUAGAUGGACGCACCUGUAUGUCCAUGCAUUGGAAGCGAGCAGCAGGCAGUAAUCCCGAAUCUGUCCACCGAGGAUGAACGCCAUCAGCUCAUGACCAGCACGCUUGGAAGCGUGCUACCUGGUUUUGAUUACCCUGUUACGAUUGGGUUAGCUAUACCAGUUACAUGGAAACCAAGUGAAGUCCGUAAGGAGCAAGAAUUAGAAACAGUUGAUCAAUUUACUCCGCUGCCGUGUGCAUCCACUUCCCUUUGGAGUGGUAUUGAGGCAGAAUGUUUUCUGCUCGGGCUCUACAUUUUCGGCAAAAAUCCAAGUCUGUUGAGCAGGUUCGUUUGUAACAAGACUAUUGGAGAUGUGCUUUCCUACUACUAUGGAAAGUUCUACAAAAGUGAUGCGUAUAGAAGAUGGUUGGACUGCAGAAAAGCAGGAACAAGGAGAUGCAUUCUUGGGGAACACAUUUUUAAGAGUUGGCGGCAGCAGGAGAUAAUUUCUCGUCUUAAAUCUGCAAUACUUAACGAAGCUCAUGAUUCGUUGGUGGAGGUACGUUGCAACUUAGCCUAUAUAACAACAAAAAAUGAUCUUGUCGGCAUGAAAUUAUCCCCAUGAUCAGCUGAGGUUGUGAUAGUCUGAUCAUCACUUUGAACACUAUUUUUUUGUAUAUUACUAGAACUAAAUGUGUUUCUGUGGCAA